UGUGGGAGCUGGCUUGCCAGCGAUGGCGUAGUGUCAGCCACCGAAGAUAUUGGAUAUGCCGGCCCCAUCGCUGGCAAGCCAGCUCCCACA
rnacentral:misc_RNA from 1 species